UUUUUAAACUUCCCCCCCCCCUUUUUUUUUUUUUUUAAACCUUUUUCCUCGCUUCUAAAUCACAGCGGCUGUCUCCUCCGGCAAAAGUCAUCCCUCCCCCCGGGGCGGCGCAGGCUCCCGCCAAGCGACGAGGCUUGAGAAAAUGUCUGUCGUGCCACGGGGGGGGGAGUGGAAAAUUAAAUAAACGAAAGGAACGCCCGCGAAGCCUAACCCGCUCGAUGGCGCACAACCGACAGCUGUCCUCCCGGCAAGAGCGGCGUGGAGAACAUGGCAAGCCGAGACCCCCCCCCUUGGAGAAACAUCCCCUUGGAGCGACGAAGCGCUGGGCUAGGAACAAAGCCACGUUUGGGGCGACGCAGAGAAAUCCCUUUCCAUAACCUCUGCUCAUAACCCCCCUCGGCCCUGGCAACGCGCACGCCAACCCCUGCACCCCCCCCGACACGUUAGCGGCAUCUUCCUCAGUCCCUCGUCUUCCUCACACCUUACGCCUUCCCUCCUCCUCGUGCGCCUCGUUAGGAACGCGCCGGAAGCCUUGCGUGCGCGGGGGGUUGUAUUAGGAAAACACGUACAGGGGAAUAAAAUUCGCCAAAUGAAAGCGGGAGUCCUUUUAUUUUGCACCCGGCAGUGGUUCCUGCCCAGCAAGCAGCGAGCCCAAGAAGCCAAAUACUAGGCACGUACAAAAUACAUACCCUCUCGAUUUUCUCUUCAUUAAUUAACACUUCAUGUCAACAGCCUGCAAAUGUAUAGGAUUUUUAAAUAACUCUGACUUGUAGUGACUAGAUGGCUUCGAUAUCCGCUUCACUAGUUAAUUUUUUUAAGAGUCCUACCCGAGUCACUCGUGUCCCCUAGCAGUAAAUUCCACGAGUUAACAAUUCAUCCAAGAAUUAAUAUAGCGACAUAGUAUUUACUAUAAUCAUAUACUGUUUUCUUGAAAUGUGGUUUCUAUCGGCUUUAGCAGUUGAUUUUUUGACUUCUCCCAGGCACUGGGUGCCAGGAGCGAUUCCCCAUCCCAUUUUGUCGAGAGUGGGAGCUGGGUCAGACCCAAACCCCUUCUCCUGCGGGAGAGGGCUGCGGCCGGGCAGCCUCCACUGGCAUCUCUCAGGGUCAGGUUUUACCUGCCGUGGUUCUUGUAAGGGAUGUCAGCAAAACUCUCCUUCAUUUGGUUUUAAUAAAUGAAAUUUAAUUCUUACUACGCAAAAGUCGUAUCAGUUUAUCCUUGGCUUUUGUUCAUUUAGGUGAUUUAUGGGUCUAACUUUUUUUUUUUCCAGUUUUCCUGACGAGGACUUCUGAUUUAGCAAAAGCAAUCUAAACCAAAACGAAACCUCUCAAAGCUGCCAUAACCGAGAGCAAGAAAAGAAUGAAUCUGGAAUUCAAGUGCUGGAGUAUGGGAAGAAGAGGAACAUAUGUCAGAUAUAAAUCCCAGCGCCAUGGUGGGAGUAAACAUGCUCUGACAGCAGCGUACGCAGAUGCCGAAUAGGGCUGAAAUUUUAAGCAAGUCCUAAAGAGGGGGAGAGGCAGAGGCAUCCCUGCCACGGGGAAGAGACGGCCACAGGGUGGGGUGGGAUGGGCACUGGAAGCCGACGGAAGGGCCCGAGGAUCUUCGUUUGCUGCUCCUGCUGGCCCCAGAGAGACAAAAUGGGAGACAAAGCCAGAAACUCCUCCCUGCAGAGCUUUCUGGUACUCUGGCAUUUUCUCACCCUUUGCUAGUAAGAGUUAUUUGGGGUCUGGGCACAAGGGUGUCUCAGCACAUCCCGUUUCUCCUGAAACGAAACCACUCU